rnacentral:misc_RNA from 1 species
GGAAUAUAUUUGUCCAAAACAUCUAAUUUACCACCUUUUCAUCCAAUGAUGUAUAUCAUGACAAUUGCGUCCAAGUGAGAUUUAUUUGUUGAUUGCAACUAGCUUAGGAUUAAGGCAAACUUCGGUGUUAAGAUCAUUUCAGCAAGUUUUCUAAGUUAAUGCACAUAUUAAAAAGUAUACACCGUGACUUUCUAAAUCACGCACAACUGAAUCAACAUUC